rnacentral:rRNA from 1 species
CCAAUAGCGUAUAUUAAAGUUGUUGCAGUUAAAAAGCUCGUAGUUGAAUUUCGGGGCCAGUAUGUUGGUCGUGCUUCGGUACGUACUUGCAUUAUUGGUUUCUCCCUUCUGAAGAACCAUGAUGUAAUUAAUUUGAUGUCAUGGGAAAUCAGGACUGUUACUUUGAAAAAAUUAGAGUGUUUACAGCAGGCUCGCGCUUGAAUACAUUAGCAUGGAAUAAUGAAAUAGGACGUUUGAUUCUAUUUUGUUGGUUUCUAGGAUCGACGUAAUGAUUAAUAGUGAUAGUUGGGGGCAUUAGUAUUCAAUUGUCAGAGGUGAAAUUCUUGGAUUUAUUGAAGACUAACUACUGCGAAAGAAUUUGCCAAGGAUGUUUUCAUUAAUCAAGAACGAAAGUUAGGGGAUCGAAGACGAUCAGAUACCGUCGUAGUCUUAACCAUAAACUAUGCCGACUAGGGAUCGGAUGAUGUUAAUUUUUUUAUGACUCAUUCGGCGCCUUACG